AGACAUGAUGGCACAUGCCUGUAGUCCCAGCUACUCAAGAGGCUGGAGGAUUGUUUGAGCCCAGGGGUUCUGGGCUCCAGUACGCCAUGCCGGUCAGCGUGUCCACACUAAGUUCAGCAACAAUAUGGUGACUUCUGGGAAGCAGGUGACCACCAGGUUGCCUAAGGAAGGGUGAACCUGCCCAGGUCACAAAUGAAGCAGGUUAAAAUUCCUGUGCUGAUUAGCAGUAGAAUCACAUCUGUGAAUAUCCGCUGUACUCCAGCCUGGGCAAUAUAGUAAGACCUGGUUUCAA
ensembl:misc_RNA Metazoa_SRP Metazoan signal recognition particle RNA